CCUACGGGGCGCAGCAGUGGGGAAUAUUGGGCAAUGGGCGCAAGCCUGACCCAGCAACGCCGCGUGAAGGAAGAAGGCUUUCGGGUUGUAAACUUCUUUUGACAGGGAAGAGCAGAAGACGGUACCUGUCGAAUAAGCCACGGCUAACUACGUGCCAGCAGCCGCGGUAAUACGUAGGGAGCAAGCGUUAUCCGGAUUUACUGGGUGUAAAGGGCGUGUAGGCGGGCAUGCAAGCCAGAAGUGAAAUCUGGGGGCUUAACCCCCAAACUGCUUUUGGAACUGCGUGUCUUGAGUGAUGGAGAUGC
rnacentral:rRNA from 1 species